rnacentral:rRNA from 1 species
UACAGAGGGGGCAAGCGUUGUUCGGAAUUACUGGGCGUAAAGCGCACGUAGGCGGCUUUGUAAGUUAGAGGUGAAAGCCUGGAGCUUAACUCCAGAACUGCCUUUAAGACUGCAUCGCUUGAAUCCGGGAGAGGUGAGUGGAAUUCCGAGUGUAGAGGUGAAAUUCGUAGAUAUUCGGAAGAACACCAGUGGCGAAGGCGGCUCACUGGACCGGUAUUGACGCUGAGGUGCGAAAGCGUGGGGAGCAAAC